rnacentral:rRNA from 1 species
CGGUUGAUCCUGCCGGAGGUUACUGCUAUCGAGGUUCGACUAAGCCAUGCGAGUCGAAUGUAGCAAUACAUGGCGUACUGCUCAGUAACACGUGGAUAACCUACCCUUGAGACGGGGAUAAACCCGGGAAACUGGGUAUAAUACCCGAUAGAUCUCGACUGCUGGAAUGCAUCGAGCUUGAAAGCUCCGGCGCUCAAGGAUGGGUCUGCGGCCUAUCAGGUAGUAGUGGGUGUAGCGUACCUACUAGCCUACGUCGGGUACGGGUUGUGAGAGCAAGAGCCCGGAGAUGGAUUCUGAGACACGAAUCCAGGCCCUACGGGGUGCAGCAGGCUCGAAAACUUUACAAUGCUGGAAACAGCGAUAAGGGGACCUCGAGUGCCAGGUUACAAAUCCGGCUGUCGUGAUGCCUAAAAGCAUUGCAUAGCAGGGCCGGGCAGACGGUGCAGCCGCGCGGUACCCGGCGCUCGAGUGUAACGUAUAUUGGUCUAAAGGCUGUAGCCGCCGAUAGUCUCUGGGGAAUCUGCAGCUUAACUGUCAGGCCUUCAGGAGAUUCUGUCUGGCUCGAGGCCGGAAGAGGUGAGAGGNACUUCAGGGGGUAGGGGGUGAAUUCUUGUAUUCCUGAAGGACACCAGUGCGAGGCGUCUACCGAACGACUACGCAGGACAAGCAGGGCCACGA